rnacentral:rRNA from 1 species
GAUGAACGCUGGCGGCGUGCCUAAUACAUGCAAGUCGAGCGAAUGGAUUAAGAGCUUGCUCUUAUGAAGUUAGCGGCGGACGGGUGAGUAAUACGUGGGUAACCUGCCCAUAAGACUGGGAUAACUCCGGGAAACCGGGGCUAAUACCGGAUAACAUUUUGAACCGCAUGGUUCGAAAUUGAAAGGCGGCUUCGGCUGUCACUUAUGGAUGGACCCGCGUCGCAUUAGCUAGUUGGUGAGGUAACGGCUCACCAAGGCAACGAUGCGGAGCCGACCUGAGAGGGUGAGGGGCCAAACGGGGACUGAGACACGGCCCAGACUCCUACGGGAGGCAGCAGUAGGGGAUCUUCCGCAAUGGACGAAAGUCUGACGGAGCAACGCCGCGUGAGUGAUGAAGGCUUUCGGGUCGUAAAACUCUGUUGUUAGGGAAGAACAAGUGCUAGUUGAAUAAGCUGGCACCUUGACGGUACCUAACCAGAAAGCCACGGCUAACUACGUGCCAGCCGCCGCCGUAA